GGUUCUGUUCUCUCCUCUCCACGUUAACUCGAGUCUCUUCUGAGCCGCGUGGAAACAGCAGGUGUAAAUAAGGCUUUCAGGAAACAUCGGAACAUCACAAAAUACUGAAAGAUCUCCAGAAACCCAUAUGCAGAAUUGAUUCUUAGGAAGCUGUUCAGAAAUUGUUGGACUUUGCCAG